rnacentral:rRNA from 1 species
GGUGUUGAUGACACUGAGGGUACACCUGUUCCCAUCCCGAACACAGAAGUUAAGCUCAGCGGUGCCGAAAAUACUUGGCUGGUGACGGCCCGGGAAGA